rnacentral:rRNA from 1 species
UACGUAGGGUGCGAGCGUUAAUCGGAAUUACUGGGCGUAAAGCGUGCGCAGGCGGUUUUGUAAGCCAGAUGUGAAAGCCCCGGGCUUAACCUGGGAAUGGCAUUUGGGACUGCAAGGCUUGAGUGCGGCAGAGGAGACUGGAAUUCCUGGUGUAGCAGUGAAAUGCGUAGAUAUCAGGAGGAAUACCGAUGGCGAAGGCAGGUCUCUGGGCUGACACUGACGCUCAUGCACGAAAGCGUGGGGAGC